UACGUAGGGGGCAAGCGUUAUCCGGAUUUGCUGGGUGUAAAGGGAGCGUAGACGGUCCUGCAAGCCAGAUGUGAAAGCCCGGGGCUCAACCCCGGGACUGCAUUUGGAACUGUAAGGCUAGAGUGUCGGAGAGGCAGGCGGAAUUCCUAGUGUAGCGGUGAAAUGCGUAGAUAUUAGGAGGAACACCAGUGGCGAAGGCGGCCUGCUGGACGAUGACUGACGUUGAGGCUCGAAAGCGUGGGGAGCAAACAGG
rnacentral:rRNA from 1 species